rnacentral:rRNA from 1 species
AUGUACAAGUUGUACAAGAGCGAGCUGGACGCGAUCACGCCUGAGCAGGUGGAAUGGGAGCCGUAUGGAAAAGGAGAGAGUUUUGGUAACCCUGUAGAGUUCAGGUUGAAUCCGAUGUGCACUAGGGAUAGGGAUCUCUGGCAUAUGUGGUGCCCACUCAUACGCAACUGGGCGGUUGAGCUUCACCUGCCACAUCGGGUGUUCCGCCAGUUUGGUUUGUUCCAGCCACACCCGCCGGAGUGGGAGGACACCGACAAGUUGCUACACGCGUUGGAUAGGAAAAAGCAGCGGAAGAUCAAGGAUUGGGCCAAGCAUCACAGGAAGUAUGUCGUACAGUUCGCGCUUAGUGUGGAGCAAGCUAGGGAUGGAAAACGAGCCCAACUUCGUGAGCACUGCCCGAUCGCGUUCAACAACUAUCUCAUAUGGUUUCUUGCAAGUACCCGUGUGGAGGUAUGCAAGCCGGCGUAUGCUGAGGAGAUUUUGGAAGAUCCCACCGUUUUUGAUGAGCUAGCCCAGCACCAAUAG